UACGGGAGGCAGCAGUGGGGAAUAUUGCACAAUGGGCGCAAGCCUGAUGCAGCCAUGCCGCGUGUAUGAAGAAGGCCUUCGGGUUGUAAAGUACUUUCAGUCGUGAGGAAGGUGUUAAGGUUAAUAACCUUAGCAAUUGACGUUAGCGACAGAAGAAGCACCGGCUAACUCCGUGCCAGCAGCCGCGGUAAUACGGAGGGUGCGAGCGUUAAUCGGAAUUACUGGGCGUAAAGGGCACGCAGGCGGUUAAUUAAGUUGGAUGUGAAAUCCCCGGGCUUAACCUGGGAAUGGCAUUCAAGACUGGUUAGCUAGAGUCUUGUAGAGGGGGUAGAAUUCCAUGUGUAGCGGUGAAAUGCGUAGAGAUGUGGAGGAAUACCGGUGGCGAAGGCGGCCCCUGGGACAAAGGACUGACGCUCAUGUGCGAAAGCGUGGGGAGCGAAACGAGGGAUUAGAUACC
rnacentral:rRNA from 1 species